rnacentral:lncRNA from 10 species
ACCCUCGCCCCGCUGGCAGCCGGCCUCCGGCUCAGCUCUGGGGCGCCCUCUUCCCGCGGUCGCUGUAAGACCCCGCCUCUCGGCCCCUCGGCCCGGCGCGCGCGCGCGCCCCCAGCCUCCCUCCUGCGUUCGCGGGAGCGCGCGCCUUGUGCUUCCCGCUCCGCCGCGCACCCCGCCCGCCCUCCCGCGGCCCCGCGGGCCUUCCGGCUUCGCAGACCGGGCCUGCCAGGUUUGAAUGCCUCCCUCUGCCGGCAGGAAAAGCUAUGGGGACCUGACUCCCAAGAGUAGGAAGGAAUGUCCCACAAGGACCCCAGAAACGAGGUGGAAUUGCCCCGGGUGCGCGAGGCUGUAGAUGACACGUCCAGGGACCAGCCUCUGGCAGCCCGGCGCUGGAGUCGACCGCUGGGACCGACACCAGCCCCAUAGGUGUGGCUGGGACGAUGAAUGAGAUGAAAAUACAUAUACAAAGAGAGUGAUUUGCUCACAGUUUCACAACCAGGAAACGUUUGCACCAGAGCCCUUCCCUCUGGUCUGAGCAAAAAGUAUAUAUAUAAUAUAACGAGUGACAACACGCUUGCUUUUUUCCCUUUUUAGUGAGAAAUUGAGUACUUUUUCAACUCACAGAUCACCAAAAUGUAACCCCCUAAACUGUUAAGCCAAAUUCUUAACCUACUGAGUAAAAAAGAGCGGGGCUCCUCCCCGUGGCUUCGUCAUUUGAAAAGCAACUAACAAGAACCUCAAACAUCUAUCCUUGCUAAUUUCCUGCUUUCAGAUCAGUAGGUGCUGCUAAAAAGAUCUAAACUGUGGACUCAUUCAUCAUUCAGUCAGUAUUAACCUACUAUGUGCCGGGCACUGCAUGAAUACACAAGAAAAUCAGGUUCCAGCCGUCACUGUUGAAUGGAUUCUUCAGUCCGUUUAUGUAUAUUUUUGACAUACAACUUUUCAAAUAGGUAGAGUAAUUCGGUGAGGUAAUUCUUAAAGUCCUGUAUCUAACCUCAGUCCCCUUCCAAAAUGUCAAAUACAUUUUGUUUUGUAUAUUAAAUCUAAAUAUUAAGUUGCAUUUGUAAACAUUGCCAGAUGGAAAUGUAGAAUAUCAACAAGAUAAGUAGCUGAUGCAGUCUUUCUAUCACUGUAUUUGGGAUAUAUUCUGUUGAUGAAAUUUCCUUAACCCUUUUUUUAGCUACACAAGUAAUAUCAGCAUAAAUGCUCAUUUUGGAAAAUUCAAGCACUAUAAAAUAUUGAAAAGUUAUCAUUAAUAUUUUUCUUCCCAAACCACCCCCUGCCCAUGACUACCACUGUAACAAUUCUGCGUGCAUCCUUCUGGACCUUACUUUUUUUUGUUGUUUGUUUUUUUGUUUUUUUGUUUUUUUGUUUUGAGACGGAGUCUUGCUCUGUCUCCCAGGCUGGAGUGCAGUGGCACAAUCUGAGCUCACUGCAACCUCUGCCUCCCGAGUUCAAGUGAUUCUCCUGCCUCAGCCUCCUGAGUAGC